GGAUAAUAGUUAACCAUAACAUUUAAUUUGCAUUUAAAAGUCAUUGAUCCAAUCAAUUUAUCUUA
rnacentral:tRNA from 1 species